CCGCACGCGCGCUACACUGAAGGGAUCAGCGUGUCUUCCCUUCCCGAGAGGGACGGGUAACCCGCUGAACCCCUUCGUGGUAGGGAUCGGGGCUUGCAAUUAUUCCCCGUGAACCAGGAAUUCCCAGUAAGCGCAAGUCAUAAGCUUGCGUUGAUUACGU
rnacentral:rRNA from 1 species